CCUACGGGGCGCUGCAGUGAGGAAUAUUGGUCAAUGGACGAGAGUCUGAACCAGCCAAGUAGCGUGAAGGAUGACUGCCCUAUGGGUUGUAAACUUCUUUUAUAAAGGAAUAAAACGAGGCACGUGUGCCUUUUUGCAUGUACUUUAUGAAUCAUGAUCUGCUAACUCCUUGCCAGCAGCCGCGGUAAUACGGAGGAUCCGAGCGUUAUACGGAUUUAUUGGGUUUAAAGGGAGCGUAGAUGGGUUGUUAAGUCAGUUGUGAAAGUUUUCGGCUCAACCGUAAAAUUGCAAUUGAUACUGGCAGUCGUGAGUACAGUUGAGGUAGGCGGAAUUCGUGGUGUAGCGGUGAAAUGCUUAGAUAUCACGAAGAACCCCGAGUGCGAAGGCAGCUUACUAAACUGUGACUGACAUUGAUGCUCGAAAGUGUGGGUAUCAAACAGGAUUAGAUACCCCUGUAGUC
rnacentral:rRNA from 1 species